AUUCAUAAUUCAGCCAAAAAAGCCACUAGCCACAAAAGGCCAAUACAAACUAGCCACAAAAGGGCCAUUACAAUAACGGAGCGGUCUAAUAUCAAAAUUAAGAAAAUCAGGUAUGUCUCCACUAACGAUCAGGCAAGAUCGAAGAAACUCUGGCAUAGGCAUCCCAACUAAGAUUGCAAACUUAGAAUAAUAAAAAAGAGAUAAAGCUUGAAAAAACCAAGCCAUAACAAUACAAAUAAAACUCUCACCAAGGAGAGAUGAAAAGCUCUCACAAAGGAGAGAUGAAAAACUCUCACAAAAGGAGAGGUGAAAACUACACAGAGAACCCAAAGAGUCUCUGCAACUUAUUUCAAACAUAAAGAAAUUGCAAAAAAGAUGGUGGUGGAGAUCCGACGCCGAAAUGCAGGUGAAGAUCCGACGUUG
rnacentral:lncRNA from 1 species